rnacentral:lncRNA from 1 species
CAACAGUUUGUGAAGCAUCAGGUGCUUUACUUCUCGACGCUGCAAGGUAGGAAGUAUUGGUCGGUGGCCUUGAGGUUAAGUGGAGAGACGUGGGUUCCGGAGUAGAGUCCAUUACUUCAGCCUCAGUGCUUGGCUCUGGAAUUGCUGGUUUACCAUUUUCCAUCUUGACAGAUUGGAUAGGUUCAACAAGAGCUUGUGAAGCAACAGGCAUUGUACUUGUUGUCACCGCAAAGUUGGAAGUAUUGGUCGGUGGCCUUGAGGUUAAGUGGAAAGACAUGGGUUCCGGGGUAGAGUCCAUUACUUCCUCGGUGCUUGGCUCUGGAAUUGCUGGUUUACCAUUUUCCAUCUUGACAGAUUGGAUAGGUUCAACAAGAGCUUGUGAAGCAACAGGCAUUGUACUUGUUGUCACCGCAAAGUUGGAAGUAUUGGUUGGUGGCCUUGAGGUUAAGUGGAGAGACGUGGGUUCCGGAGUAGAGUCCAUUACUUCAGCCUCGGUGCUUGGCUCUGGAAUUGCUGGUUUACCAUUUUCCAUCUUGACAGAUUGAAUAGGUUCAACGAGAGCUUGUGAAGCAAUAAGCACUGUACUUGUUGUCACCGCAAUCUUUG